AUAUAUAUAUAUAUAUAUAUAUACAUCGUUCCUUAUUCAUUCUCUGCUUCACCAUCGACACUUCUCGCUCAGCCUCAACCAUAACAAACAAUUUCACGAUUUCUCUUUCUCUCCCCUUCUUAAAUUUCUAGGUUUCGAUUCUCUUCCUGCAUUUGCAUCCCAACUUUAGAUGUACAGUAGCGCAAUAACAGAAUCUCCGUUCAUCAUUUUCUGGCUUCCUUUUAUAGCUUGAGCUGGAAUUGCCAUCCGAUCUGACUUCGUUUCGCAGGGUUUGUUCUUGAUUAUUUGACAAUUUUGUUCUUCGAUUAAGAAAUUUGGUAGAAUUCGUUGUUUGUUUUGUUGCUAUAGGGGAUUAGGGCUUUUUGUAGAAUUUAGGGUUACAAGUAUAUCUAUGGCGGCUAGUAGACAUGGAGGUUAUCGUGACAACGAGUUUAGGGACCGUGAGUCCAAUUUUGAUGUUUCAAGGCGGGGUUUCAAUAAUAAUUCUAAACAAGAGUAUGAUAAGAUUACGAAUGGUGGCCGCGAUGUUGUGAGGGUUGGGAGCAAGGAUGCAAGAGAUAGGCUUAGUCUGAAACAAAAAGAUAUUAGGGACAGGGAAGCUCCAAAUGGUAGUUACCGGUCAUCUUCGAGUAAGAGCGACUCUGGCAGUAGUGGCGGGUGUAGUAGUGGGCUUGGUCCCAGAAGAUGUGAGUUUUCUGUUAAGACUAUGGAUAGAGAGCCUGGUGAGCUUUCUAGUGAAAGUGGGUCUGAUGAUGAUGGUAUUGAAUCAGGAUCACAGGAAAAAUACUGUGAGGUUGCAACAGGUGAAGGAAACCGUGCACGAUCUCCACUAGAGAGGAAAAGAAAAUUUUCUCCAAUAGUAUGGAAUCAGGAUGACAGCGAAGUCAAUAAUUUAUCAAAACUUAGGGUUGUCACAGCAGUGACUACUCUGCCUCCACUUCCAAUAGUCCGUCUGUCACCUAAUGUUCCCGAUAGAGGAGUUGAAACUCAUCCUGUCAAAAACACAGAAGCUGAGAUUCUUGAGUUACCAACUGUAACUAACCCUCCUUUGCUGUCUGAGUCUCCUGUAGGUUUGCAUUCAUUGUUGCCAGAGCAGAGAUGGGGUAAUGAGCAGGAAGCCAAGCAACCUGAAGGUGAAGAUUUUAUUCCAACUCAUAAUAUAUCAUCUUCAAGAUGGGCAUCUGGUGAUAACUCUCCUGGUGAUGAAGGUGAAAUCAAUGAUGACAAGGAAAUCCUUAAGAGGAGGAAGCUAUCUCCUGAGCUGGGUAUGAGAGUAAGAAACAAGAUGUUGAGACUAGAGGAAUCUAACAUAGAAGAUUUUGUAGAAGCUAGAGCCAAAUCAUCUGAAUCUGAAGAAAGAAGUAGCCGUGGGAGAUCAUCCAGUGGAGAUUAUCAUCCUGGUAAUUUGUCAGGGAAGGAUGAUUAUAUGGAGAUUGAUGGUCAAGGUAGCAGAAGUGAAACUAGUGGUUAUCAUUCGGAUACAGAUUUGGAAGAUGAUUGCAGAGAAACUUCUGAACCUCCGGUUCCACCACAAAGAGUUGUCAACAUGCUUCAGGGUUGUAGAAGUGUUGAUGAGUUUGAGAGACUGAACAAGAUAGAUGAAGGAACAUAUGGUGUUGUAUUUAGGGCAAAAGAUAAGAAGACUGGUGAAAUUGUGGCAUUGAAAAAGGUGAAGAUGGAGAAGGAAAAAGAAGGUUUUCCAUUGACUUCUCUCAGGGAAAUAAACAUUCUUCUUUCCUUUCACCACCCAUCCAUAGUUGAUGUUAAAGAAGUUGUGGUAGGGAGUAACCUUGAUAGUAUUUUCAUGGUUAUGGAAUACAUGGAACAUGAUCUUAAAGGACUAAUGGAGGGAAUGAAGCAGCCCUUUAGCCAGAGUGAAGUAAAAUGCUUAAUGCUCCAGCUUUUAGAAGGUGUGAAGUAUCUUCAUGACAACUGGGUGCUUCAUAGGGAUUUGAAGACUUCUAACCUGCUUCUGAAUAAUAGGGGCGAGUUAAAAAUUUGUGAUUUUGGAUUGGCUCGUCAGUAUGGGAGCCCAUUGAAACCAUAUACCCACCUUGUGGUUACUCUUUGGUACAGGGCUCCUGAACUUCUUCUGGGGACAAAACAAUAUUCAACAGCCAUUGACAUGUGGUCUCUGGGUUGUAUAAUGGCUGAGCUAUUGUCCAAGGAACCUCUAUUUAAUGGGAAGACUGAAUUUGAACAACUUGACAAGAUUUUCAGAAUUCUUGGCACACCAAAUGAAACAAUUUGGCCUGGGUUCUCAGAAUUACCCCAAGUCAAGGUCAAUUUUGUCAAGAAUAAGUGUAAUCUCCUGCGUAAAAAAUUUCCUGCAACAUCAUUCACUGGAUCACCAGUUCUUUCUGAUUCUGGAUUUGAUUUGUUGAACAAGCUUCUAACUUAUGACCCUGAAAAGCGGAUCACAGCUGAAGAAGCUCUAAACCAUGAGUGGUUUCGUGAAGUUCCCCUUCCGAAGUCUAAAGAAUUUAUGCCUACAUUCCCUGCUCAACAUGCUCAAGACAGGCGAAUGAGGAGAAUAUUAAAGAGUCCAGAUCCAUUAGCUGAGCAGCAUUGGAAGGAGAUGCAGCAGGGUGAAUCAGGGACUGGUGGUAUUUUUGGUUAAGAAUGGUGCAAUUUAAUUUUUUGUUCACAAUAAUCAUUCUAACAUGCUCUGCUGAAUGGUUGCACACUUGAGGUGAGAGUAAGCGCUGGAUGGAUGUUGCUAAUUUUGAUUGUUAGACAAUCACUUUUGUGGUUUUUUUAUCAGGCGCUUCUUGUUGGUUUGUGUCGAGAUAUGUAUUCUUUACUUCCUUGGAGCCAGAUCUAUUUCAGUUGUCACGUGAAGUGGAAGAGUGCAUUCUGUCCAUUUAGUUGAAGAAAAUGACAGUAACUUUUAAUUCCAAGUAUCAAAGCUAGCAGGUUGAGGAUGUUACCUGUAUACCUGGAAUAUAUGGAACUUUGUUCCAUCAGGCUCUCUAGAGGGGUAGGAAAACAUCAAAUCCUGCACCUCUGAAGGUGGUGAGGUGAUCAUCGUAAAACUUUUAAAUCCCCUGCUAUGAAGUGAGGGCGUUAUGAUUACGAUGCCAUAAUGGAAUUGGAAUUGAAAAUUUUGCUACAGCCUAAGGGACAUGUAAUUGGUGGUGUAAUACAUGGCACAAGUGCUGAUGGUGGUGGCGCACCGUGUAGGUCCAGUGGUGCAGAAUGAAGAGAUUUGCAAAUGGGUAAUGAACCAAAAUGUACAAUCCUACAAGAGAAAUCGCAACUUGAACCACAAUGAUGUAAACAAAAUAAACGAGAAUCUUUAUAAUUUGGACAGUGAUGAUGCAAGUCUUAAAUAUUGUUGUCACA